rnacentral:rRNA from 1 species
CAAGGAAUUUUGGGCAAUGGGCGAAAGCCUGACCCAGCGACACCGCGUGAGGGAAGAAGGCCUUCGGGUUGUAAACCUCUUUUCCCGGGGAAGAAUUUUGACGGUACCCAAGGAAUAAGNCUCGGCCAACUACGUGCCAGSAGCCGCGGGAAUANUCCGUG